rnacentral:tRNA from 5 species
GGGUCUAUAGCUCAGUUGGCUAGAGCAUCUCGUUUACACCGAGAGGGUCGGGGGUUCGAGUCCCUCUGGACCCACCA